GAGGAAACUUUGGGUUUUUAUUCAUUUAAAGAGAGAGCAGCCUCUGACAUUCAUUAUAACCAAUAACCAUCAGUGUCUGGUUCAAACUCACUCUUACACUGAACCUGAGCUGGUUUUAAAGGAGUUUUGGAGCGUGGUCAUCUAUGGCAGAGACGAGGGGCUUCAUCUCAGGGGUGGGGUUGUGUUUUCAAAGAUACUGAACCCCAGAAUGCCUCAAGUGUUAGCCUGGUGAACAUGAGUGUGAAGAUUACAGCUGUCAUCUGUUUCAGCAGCUUUAAAAAAACCACAUCUGUUCACAUUAAAGUGACAAAGCUCUGCUGCAGUAAACAUUAGUAAUCAAGGUUGAUGAUGAGAACCGUGCUGUUACUGCACUCCAUCUGGAGCAGAUGAGGACAUGCUGAGAGGAGUCCACAGAUGGAGAGUUUGGACUUUGACUCCGAGCUCUGCUCUUCAUCUACUCUUGGACUGAAAGUCGUGCCGUACCUAAACAGGGCUCCACAGUGCGACCGUUUCACUCGCAUUUGCAACUAAAAAUAGAUGUGUACAAACUGUAAAAUGUAUUUAGGGUCACAUGACGCUUAAGAAAAAAUUAGCCGAGGCAACAAAUGUUUUAUGUGGCAACAAAAAGUUAGUUUCAGGUUGGAUAUAUUUUCCUGUAAAUACGGUGGUGAAGUUAGUUUCAGGUUGGAUAUAUUUUCCUGUAAAUACGGCGGUGAAGUUAGUUUUAGGUUGGAUAUAUUUUCCUGUAAAUACGGCGGUGAAGUUAGUUUCAGGUUGGAUAUAUUUUCCUGUAAAUACGGCGGUGAAGUUAGUUUUAGGUUGGAUAUAUUUUCCUGUAAAUACGGCGGUGAAGUUAGUUUUAGGUUGGAUAUAUUUUCCUGUAAAUACGGCGGUGAAGUUAGUUUUAGGUUGGAUAUAUUUUCCUGUAAAUACGGCGGUGAAGUUAGUUUUAGGUUGGAUAUCUGACGGACAUUCUCUGAGGAUCUACCGGUGUUUUCUCUCUCUCCAUAACCGGGAAUAACAACAGCAGCGCGGUUAAAUCUACUCGACACCCUCACUGUCAACGUCGGUGUUGAAUAAGGGACCGUCAAUAAAUUACCGGUGGAUGUUCUCAGAAAAGGCUGUUUUCCUUCAAUAGCUUCACUGUCAUGUGACCAAAA